AAGAACUUGACUAUCAAAAUUGGAACCCUGGUCAGCCAGAUAAUAAAAGUGACCUGGAAGACUGCGCUCUGAUGAGUUGGUGGGAUGUACAAUAUGGUAAAUGGAAUGACUACCCUUGUGACCAGAAACAUGGCUAUAUAUGUAAAUUCCGAAAGGAUCAUACUUAACUGACAUAAACAGAGUGCUUUCAAUUCCAAUUCCAAGGACACCUUCAUUGCCGUGGCAUUUAUUUAGACUUUAUACCAUUUGAUGAGCGAGAAAAAAAUUGUACAAACACCAAUUUCAGAUAUUUUUAUUUCUUGAUAUUUUGAAAAUAUUUAUUUCAGGGAGUAUUUCAUACAAAGAAAAUAUAAACCUACCAAUAUUACAAAAUACUAAAAUUCUAGAACAUAAAUAGCAGUGUAUGAUAAAUAUGAAAGGGGGCAAAAAUAAAUGUUUGAU